CAAUUGGGAAUGAAGUUCUCCCACGGGUAACCCAAACCGCAUUUCAUGCUGAUGACUUCUGCGAA
rnacentral:ncRNA from 1 species